rnacentral:rRNA from 1 species
GACGAACGCUGGCGGCGUGCUUAACACAUGCAAGCCGAACGGAAAGGCCCUGCUUUUGUGGGGUGCUCGAGUGGCGAACGGGUGAGUAACACGUGAGUAACCUGCCCUUGACUUUGGGAUAACUUCAGGAAACUGGGGCUAAUACCGGAUAGGAGCUCCUGCUGCAUGGUGGGGGUUGGAAAGUUUCGGCGGUUGGGGAUGGACUCGCGGCUUAUCAGCUUGUUGGUGGGGCAGUGGCUUACCAAGGCUUUGACGGGUAGCCGGCCUGAGAGGGUGACCGGCCACAUUGGGACUGAGAUACGGCCCAGACUCCUACGGGAGGCAGCAGUGGGGAAUAUUGCACAAUGGGCGGAAGCCUGAUGCAGCAACGCCGCGUGCGGGAUGACGGCCUUCGGGUUGUAAACCGCUUUCGCCUGUGACGAAGCGUGAGUGACGGUAAUGGGUAAAGAAGCACCGGCUAACUACGUG